UGAGGAACAUGACUUUCGGCGGGGGAUAGCCGGCCCAACGGCCGGGUAAUACCGCGUACGACCUUUCGGGGACAUCCCUGGGUGGUGAAAGCAGCAAUGCGCCGAUGGAGUGCCUCGCGGCCUAUCAGCUAGUUGGUGAGGUAACGGCUCACCAAGGCGACGACGGGUAGCUGGUCUGAGAGGAUGGCCAGCCACAUUGGGACUGAGACACGGCCCAGACUCCGUACGGGAGGNAGCG
rnacentral:rRNA from 1 species